AGACCUAUAUGGUCCACACAUGGAGAUGCUGCCUCAAAAAUCACCAUCUUUAGAAGCACAACCUGGGAUGUGAAUUUUGUACUUAUCUUCCCAUCAAGAAUCAUUUUUCUUGAAUCAAGAGCCACCAGAAAUAUGUCAUUUGUGUGUGCACAUAGGCAACCAUUCUCCCUUUGUAAUUUUGGAAGGUCUUCUGGACAGGUUAAAACUGAUUUGCACCAUU
rnacentral:lncRNA from 1 species